rnacentral:rRNA from 1 species
UACGUAGGGAGCAAGCGUUGUUCGGAUUUACUGGGCGUAAAGGGCGCGUAGGCGGCGCGGUAAGUCACUUGUGAAAUCUCUGAGCUUAACUCAGAACGGCCAAGUGAUACUGCAGUGCUAGAGUGCAGAAGGGGCAAUCGGAAUUCUUGGUGUAGCGGUGAAAUGCGUAGAUAUCAAGAGGAACACCUGAGGUGAAGACGGGUUGCUGGGCUGACACUGACGCUGAGGCGCGAAAGCCAGGGGGGCAAACGGG